UUUGAUCCUGGCUCAGAUUGAACGCUGGCGGAAUGCUUUACACAUGCAAGUCGAACGGCAGCAUAGAGAGCUUGCUCUCUGAUGGCGAGUGGCGAACGGGUGAGUAAUAUAUCGGAACGUGCCUAGUAAUGGGGAAUAACUAGCUGAAAGGUUAGCUAAUGCCGCAUACGACCUAAGGGUGAAAGCAGGGGAUCUUCGGACCUUGCGUUAUUAGAGCGGCCGAUAUCUGAUUAGCUUGUUGGUGGGGUAAUGGCCUACCAAGGCAACGAUCAGUAGCUGGUCUGAGAGGACGAUCAGCCACACUGGAACUGAGACACGGUCCAGACUCCUACGGGAGGCAGCAGUGGGGAAUUUUGGACAAUGGGGGCAACCCUGAUCCAGCCAUUCCGCGUGAGUGAAGAAGGCCCUCGGGUUGUAAAGCUCUUUCGCAAGAGAAGAAAACUUACUAUCUAAUAAAUAGUAAGUAUGACGGUAUCUUGACAAGAAGCACCGGCUAACUACGUGCCAGCAGCCGCGGUAAUA
rnacentral:rRNA from 1 species